rnacentral:rRNA from 2 species
UCCGUAGGUGAACCUGCGGAGGGAUCAUUACCGAGUUAUACAACUCAUCAACCCUGUGAACAUACCUAAACGUUGCCUCGGCGGGAACAGACGGCCCCGUGAAACGGGCCGCCCCCGCCAGAGGACCCCCUAACUCUGUUUCUAUAAUGUUUCUUCUGAGUAAAACAAGCAAAUAAAUUAAAACUUUCAACAACGGAUCUCUUGGCUCUGGCAUCGAUGAAGAACGCAGCGAAAUGCGAUAAGUAAUGUGAAUUGCAGAAUUCAGUGAAUCAUCGAAUCUUUGAACGCACAUUGCGCCCGCCAGUAUUCUGGCGGGCAUGCCUGUUCGAGCGUCAUUACAACCCUCAGGCCCCCGGGCCUGGCGUUGGGGAUCGGCGGAGCCCCCCGUGGGCACACGCCGUCCCCCAAAUACAGUGGCGGUCCCGCCGCAGCUUCCAUCGCGUAGUAGCUAACACCUCGCGACUGGAGAGCGGCGCGGCCACGCCGUAAAACACCCAACUCUUCUGAAGUUGACCUCGAAUCAGGUAGGAAUACCCGCUGAACUUAAGCAUAUCAAUAAGCGGAGGA